AUGGAGCCUGGCGAGGAGGAGGUCAUCUCGUGGCUGGACGCCAACACCCUGGCUGAGAAGGAUGAAUUUGAGCACAAGAGGAAGGAGCUGGAGCAGGUGUGUAACCCCAUCAUCAGUGGACUGUACCAGGGUGCAGGUGGUCCCGGGCCUGGGGGCUUUGGGGCUCAAGCGCCCGCCCGCCAUUGUCGUUCUCUUGGCGCGGUGGGUUCGUACGUUGGGAGUGUGGCAUGGAUACUGUCUUUAUACCGUCUGCUGCAGACCCAGCUGCCGAGUGAUGGGGAGCAGGGGAUCCCUACGGCCUGCGCUGCCUUUGCACAGCAAGCAGCGUGCGGGUAUAUCGCGGCCCCCAGUCGAGCUGGGUGAACUAACAUUGCAGAUAAGAAUUUCUAGUGUCGCUGCUUGGAACCGACCUACCUCGUGGCCGGGGGAACUCGGCUAGCCUCGCCACAGCCUCUGCUGAUUCAUCGCAGUAUCACAACGCUCUGGAAGCCCCAGCCAGGGACAAUGCCCCUUCACAGAGAUUCUGCACUAGCCUGAGUGAAGGCGUAAGGUUUGGAGCCUUCCCCUUCGGGGAGAUGAGCUGUAUAGCUAUCACGCCUAUAUAGUGACUCCUGCGACUGACCUUCAGGCUGGGAGAGGUGGAGAGCCAUGCCUGAUCUCCUUCGUUGCUAUGGAAUUUGCUGACGAAAAGAAUAUCUUCUGCCUGGUGCUGGGCAUAUCCUAAGAACUUAAAACUUUCCUGCAUUACCCUAUGUGAUCAACUGUCAACUUACUGGGGGAAGAAUGCUUGAAAUUUGGGGUCACUUCAGGUAGAUAGCUUCUACUUCCUAUAUUUGUCUUACACAAGUAUCUGGUUUUAUCAAAGUAAUUCUAAUAAAAUAUUUUAAAGUAAAUAAGA